rnacentral:rRNA from 1 species
CUCAGUACACGUGGAUAACCUGCCCUAAGGUGGAGCAUAACCCCGGGAAACUGGGGAUAAUACUCCAUAGGUUAUGGAUGCUGGAAUGCUUCAUAACUCAAAGCUCCGGCGCCUUAGGAUGGAUCUGCGGUCGAUUAGGUUGUUGUUGGGGUAACGGCCCAACAAGCCUGUAAUCGAUACGGGUUGUGGGAGCAAGAGCCCGGAGAUGGAAUCUGAGACACGAUUCCAGGCCCUACGGGGCGCAGCAGGCGCGAAAACUUUACAAUGCAGGAAACUGUGAUAAGGGAACCCCGAGUGCCCGUAUACGCGGGCUGUCCAGGUGUGUAAAAAGCACCUGAAGAAAGGGCCGGGCAAGACCGGUGCCAGCCGCCGCGGUAAUACCGGCGGCUCGAGUGGUGGCCACUUUUAUUGGGCUUAAAGCGUCCGUAGCUGGACUCCUAAGUCCCUUGGGAAAUCUCUUGGCUUAACCAAGAGGCGUCUAAGAGAUACUGGGAGUCUAGGGACCGGGAGAGGUGAGAGGUACUCCGGGGGUAGGAGUGAAAUCC